GGCCUACCAUGGUGUUAACGGGUAACGGGGUGUUAGGGCACGACACCGGAGAGGGAGCCUGAGAAACGGCUACCACAUCCAAGGAUGGCAGCAGGCGCGCAAAUUACCCAAUCCCGACACGGGGAGGUAGUGACAAUAAAUAACAAUACAGGGUUCUUUUGGAUCUUGUAAUUGGAAUGAGUACAAUUUAAAUCUCUUAACGAGGAACAAUUGGAGGGCAAGUCUGGUGCCAGCAGCCGCGGUAAUUCCAGCUCCAAUAGCGUAUAUUAAAGUUGCUGCAGUUAAAAAGCUCGUAGUUGAAUUUCGGGACCAAUAUGUCGGUCGUACCUCGGUACGUACUGGCAUCGUUGGUUUCUCCCUUCUGACGAACCAUGAUGUCAUUUAUUUGGUGUCAUGGGGAAUCAGGACUGUUACUUUGAAAAAAUUAGAGUGUUUAAAGCAGGCUCACGCUUGAAUACAUUAGCAUGGAAUAAUGAAAUAGGACGUUUGAUUCUAUUUUGUUGGUUCCUAGGAUCGACGUAAUGAUUAAUAGGGAUAGUUGGGGGCAUUAGUAUUCAAUUGUCAGAGGUGAAAUUCUUGGAUUUAUUGAAGACUAACUUCUGCGAAAGCAUUUGCCAAGGAUGUUUUCAUUAAUCAAGAACGAAAGUUAGGGGAUCGAAGACGAUCAGAUACCGUCGUAGUCUUAACCAUAAACUAUGCUGACUAGGAAUCGGACGAUGUUAAUUUUUCUUGACUCGUUCGGCGCCUUACGGGAAACCAAAGUGUUUGGGUUC
rnacentral:rRNA from 1 species